rnacentral:rRNA from 1 species
GAUGAACGCUGGCGGCGUGCCUAAUACUUGCAAGUCGAGCGAACAGAUGAGGAGCUUGCUCCUCUGACGUUAGCGGCGGACGGGUGAGUAACACGUGGAUAACCUACCUAUAAGACUGGGAUAACUUCGGGAAACCGGAGCUAAUACCGGAUAAUAUAUUGAACCGCAUGGUUCAAUAGUGAAAGACGGUUUUGCUGUCACUUAUAGAUGGAUCCGCGCCGCAUUAGCUAGUUGGUAAGGUAACGGCUUACCAAGGCGACGAUGCGUAGCCGACCUGAGAGGGUGAUCGGCCACACUGGAACUGAGACACGGUCCAGACUCCUACGGGAGGCAGCAGUAGGGAAUCUUCCGCAAUGGGCGAAAGCCUGACGGAGCAACGCCGCGUGAGUGAUGAAGGUCUUCGGAUCGUAAAACUCUGUUAUUAGGGAAGAACAAAUGUGUAAGUAACUAUGCACGUCUUGACGGUACCUAAUCAGAAAGCCACGGCUAACUACGUG